CCAGAUCUGGAAGCGUAGUGAUGCGUUAAGGUGACUGGUACUAAUUUUACCGAGUAAUAACA
rnacentral:rRNA from 1 species